rnacentral:tRNA from 1 species
UCCCUGGAGGACUAGUGGUUAGUCCACAGUGCUUUCACCGCUGCGGCCUGGGUUCGAUUCCCGGCCAGGGAA